AGCAGUCGCCACGGGAAUACGUAGGGUGCGAGCGUUAAUCGGAAUUACUGGGCGUAAAGCGUGCGCAGGCGGUUAUAUAAGACAGAUGUGAAAUCCCCGGGCUCAACCUGGGACCUGCAUUUGUGACUGUGUAGCUAGAGUACGAUAGAGGGGGAUGGAAUUCCGCGUGUAGCAGUGAAAUGCGUAGAUAUGCGGAGGAACACCGAUGGCGAAGGCAAUCCCCUGGACCUGUACUGACGCUCAUGCACGAAAGCGUGGGAAGCAAACAGGAUUAGAUACCCGUGUAGUCCCUGUCUCUUAUAC
rnacentral:rRNA from 1 species